rnacentral:rRNA from 1 species
GGGUUGUGAGGUUAAGCGACUAAGCGUACACGGUGGAUGCCCUGGCAGUCAGAGGCGAUGAAGGACGUGCUAAUCUGCGAAAAGCGUCGGUAAGGUGAUAUGAACCGUUAUAACCGGCGAUGUCCGAAUGGGGAAACCCAGUGCAAUUCGUUGCACUAUCGUUAACUGAAUACAUAGGUUAACGAGGCGAACCGGGGGAACUGAAACAUCUAAGUACCCCGAGGAAAAGAAAUCAACCGAGAUUCCCCCAGUAGCGGCGAGCGAACGGGGAGCAGCCCAGAGUCUGAAUCAGCUUGUGUGUUAGUGGAACGGUCUGGAAAGUCCGACGGUACAGGGUGAUAGUCCCGUACACCAAAAUGCACAGGCUGUGAACUCGAAGAGUAGGGCGGGACACGUGGUAUCCUGUCUGAAUAUGGGGGGACCAUCCUCCAAGGCUAAAUACUCCUGACUGACCGAUAGUGAACCAGUACCGUGAGGGAAAGGCGAAAAGAACCCCCGGCGAGGGGAGUGAAAAAGAACCUGAACCGU